rnacentral:rRNA from 1 species
AUUGAACGCUGGCGGCAGGCUUAACACAUGCAAGUCGAGCGAGCGGCGGACGGGUGAGUAAUGUAUGGGGACUGCCCGAUAGAGGGGGAUAACUACUGGGAACGGUGGCUAAUACCGCAUACUAUCGGAUAACCCAUAUGGGAUUAGCUAGUAGGUGGGGUAAAGGCUCACCUAGGCGACGAUCUCUCGCUGGUCUGAGAGGAUGAUCAGCCACACGGGGAAGGAGACACGGCCCAGACUCCCGGGGAGGCAGCAGUGGGGAAUAUGGCAAAAUGGGGGCAAGCCUGAUGCAGCCAUGCGGGGUGUAUGAAGAAGGCCUUAGGGUUGUAAAGUACUUUCAGCGGGGAGGCGUUACCCAAAGAAGAAGCACCGGCUAACUCCGUGCCAGCAGCCGCGGUAAUAC